AGGAGAAUGCUGGGUGGGACACCGCAGUUCCAUGGUGGAGCCUAAGCGUCUUGUACAACAAAGGAUGGAUUUAAGGAUGACCGCAGGAGAACAAUACUUCCUUUGUUGUGGAAAAUCUCUGAUUUUUUUUUUUUUCCUCCUGAUUGUGGCUGCUGCUAGGGCUGUUUGUUCAUGUAAGUGUUUAUAGCAUGCCUUUGCACUUUGUCAGGGAAACUGGCCUUCCAUCCUGCCAUUUUGCAACAGGACUUCUGACUAUAUCUCAUGAAUCUAAUAAUAGACAUCGUGCCCACCACCUGUGCUUAAAAUCGUUGCCCCAUGGGUUUCACUCCAGUGCCAGCCCUCCUAGGGUGGUACCCACACUCAGAUCUGAAUGGGCACACCCCCUUCCUAACAACAUGGAAAUAUGUCAUUGAAAAAAGAAAGAAAAAAGAAAACCCAAACAACUUGCUCCUCCAUGAACCCCUGUGACUGACACUCUAUGAAACCUAAUGUCAACAAACCUGUUGUUCAUCUUUCUAAACCGGGAGCUGGGCAGCACUGUCUGAAUCAUCAGGAAAUCUGAGGAAAGUAUGUUCUGUGAUUGUGAGGCUUUGCUGUGAAAUGUUCAGUCAGUCCGUCCUGACAACACACCAAUAGACUCAGUUUCGUGGAUUGUGAGUCAAGUGAUUCGCUUUCCAGAUAAUUGGUACUUAGCUCUGUCAAACACAAUUCUUGUGUCUACAUUGGAUGCUUGACUUGUGAAAUAUGCUAUAUUCUCCAAUAAAGAAAAUGAGGAUAGAGACUGCUCCAGGCGAUCCAGUACCAAGAACACUGUAACACCUGAGUCAGGCUAUUGGCUUUUUCUUGUCCUUGAUCAACUACAUGAACCUACUUACUUAAUACCUCUCUCUCUC
rnacentral:lncRNA from 1 species